UCCAGUAGGUGACUCAGAACCUAACCAUGGUUUCUUCAACAAAUUUUAGUUAAUACUUCUUUAUCAUGGCAUUAGCACACAUCCAUAUCAGGCAGGCAUGUAUGCCCUAAAGCUCUAUUCAUUUGCCUUGCCAACUCUCUUUCAAUGAGUAGGCAAAAACGAAGUUGUGUAAUGGGGAAGCAUUGCAACGACACAAGUUUCACAUAAUAAGAAUGUCAUGGUACAAACAGCGACAAAAGUAUCCCCACAUCGAUUUUUCUCCUUCAUUGCUACAACAUCAAUCACCAUCUCAUCCUUCAACUAAAAUUCACACCUUUUUCUGUCAAGCAUGAUCAACGCCAACUUUUGACAGUGAACUUUUCACAUAAAUACAAUUUUCCCUAAUCCUGUAACUCAUCAAAGGGAAAUGGUCAUGAAUGUUUUCUUUCCCAUUUUCCCUCCCGUCUUCCAUCCCUUUCUCUCCGCUCCAUUACUUGCCUUGACUUGCUACCUCUAGACCCAUGCCUUUGAGCAGACCCAAAUCCACCAGAUUGUCCAUCAAAUGCUGAAAUCAGAUCUGGAUCCCCCACACUACCAGUAUCGCCCGAGUCCUUACUUCCAUCAAAAUUUUCUUCAUAACUGCUGCCACAUUCAUCAGUCCGAUCACGGGAUUGAAGAAUGGUUGGUGGCUGGCCUGAAAAUGAUCGGGACCCAGACAACACAACAGCUGGCAUACCCAUAGAUGAACUAGUAGUAGAAAUUUCAGCCUGCAAGCUGCCACUACUAGUUCUUGUACUCCCUUCGUUACUGGAUCUUCCAUUUUCCCUCUCUCGAUACCUUUCCCGAGGCCUGCUAUGAGUGGCUGAAGAAAAGUCACGCCGUGAUGAUCGUAGUCCAGAUUCAGCUUGCUCCAGUUCACGCUGAAGUUCUCUCUGUGUUUGCCUCUCCUUCUCCAUAUCAAGAUUGUGACGAAGCUCCCUAGUUUUUGCACGCUCAAGCUCCAGCAACCGCUGUCUCUCAAUCUCUUUUUCUGCUUCAGCUGUCCUUUCCCUGCAGGUAUCAAGUGCCAGCUAUUAGCAAUAACUGUCUCUUAACUGGCACUUAAAACAUUCCAGUUGAGAACAUUUAGAAUUUAAGUAAAACCUAUCUAGUUCUCGCAGGAGUUCCUCUUCUCGAAAAGCAGCCUCUUCUAGAUAUUUCUGGCGUGCACGUCUCAUGAGUAGCUUCUUUUGCCUGCGGGCUACAACAUCAUCUUGAAGUUUGGACUUCUCUCUGAUGAGGGAACAGUAAGUCAUGAUAUAGUAAUAACUUAACAGUUUAGCAUUCUGUCAGUUAGGAAACAGAUAAAAGCAAAAAUACUAGAACUGCAUUCUUUAACUCAAAAUCCAUGUAAAUAAGAAAAAUGUUUGAACUAAAUAUUUUGCAAAUGCCACAAACAGAAUAUGGAUUUCAGAUAAAGGAUAUCAGCUACUUAUUUCAUCAGGUAUUUCAGAAUAUAUUUUCCCUUCCAUGCACUAAACUCCACUUAUUGCAAAAUUACAUCUGAAAGUAAAGAUGAUACAUACAAGGAACGAAUGCAAUCCUUGAUCUCCUGAAGACGGCUCUCAUGCUUCCCAGAAGCUGAACAGCAAAAAUGGGAGACAAAAAAAUACAAAGGCAGUGACCCAAGGAAUUUGCCUCUCUUCCUUGGUGUCUUUUGAUGACUCUUUUACUGGAUUUUCUUUUUGAAGAAUGUCCAAUUCUAUUUCAGCCUCCUCAAGUUCCAUUGCCUCUUCAUCAAUUUUUUUUGAGAACACCUCAAAGUAUGAAUCAACUGAAGUUAAAUUGGCAAGGACCUGAAGAAUUUCUUCACGGGUGCUCCCAAAUUCUGAGUCAACUUGUUUUGAAGAAUUUGAAGAGAGAACUUCUAUCAAAGCCUGUUUCGCUUCAUCCCCUUCAUUUCUCAAUCUACACAAGACUUCACAAGCAUUUUUCUCCAAAUCACCGACAUGGCCUCCAGUUUUAGACAAUCCUAUGGCCUCAAUAUUUCUCCAAACUUCUUGAGGUAUCAAAGAAAUGUCUUCAGCAUGUGAGUACAGGCAGGCACCAGCAACAAGUGCUAAUGAGAGCCGUAGUAGUGGGCCCUCACAUGUUGGAUGUGCACUUUUUCCCAAAAUAUGAAGAACACUAUCAGUUGCAGAAAGAAAUGAUUGUAACUGGUGCUGAGCAGCAUAUGGUAUAUAACAUAUGAGAACUGCCAUAGCAUGAAUUCUCAGAGGUAAUAAUGUAUCAGAUGAUGCCAGCAAAACCACCCGAUCCCAUGUACUUGAAACCAGAAACGACAGAAACGGCUCAGAAACUGAAUGACUUAAGCCUGGUGAAAGUAAGUUACUGCAAAAUGUAGAAUACUGUAGAAUUGCUUCUCCAUUUAGAUCUUGGCCAACCAAUCUACCCAAGUGCUUAAUAGCUAUAAAUCGUUGUUCAGGUUCUGAAUGACCCAGCAGUGUAACAAAUAGAUCAGUAAGAGGCCCAUCACUCUCAUGAAGGCCAUGGACACCUCUCACAAAUAACAUUGAUAACCACUUAUCAGAUUGCAAGCGCCAAGCAAUUUUUGGUGCACUGCAUGAAAAAUUUUUUAUCACGGAACAAAUUGUAUCAGUUACAUGGUCCAGCCGAAAACAACAGGGUACUCCAAGUAGACAAUCAAGCAUUUGAGAUGCCACUUCCCAGCAAUGGUUUUCUUGGAGCUUCACAAUGAUUUCAGCAAGACCCUCUAGACUGGUCCUCCAAUGAACUGGAAAGUCCUCAACUGAUUUAAAAGGGAAAGAAUUUUCACUGGUAUCCUCUUCAGCAUUUUGAACUUGGGGCGCAAUUGAAGAUAAGCAUCUUGAGUAUAUAAAACACUGUGCCGAUGUAAUAGUCAAUUUCUUUGCCAAACGAUGAUGAAGAUUCCAACAUAGCUCAAUAGUUGGAUUAAGCUUGGUGAGAAUAUUCUCCAAGCCUUUAGAGAAAUCUUCUAUUUCUUCUGUCGAUAAAUAAUAACCAUUUUGUUUUGAGGAUACACCAUCAAAGUCAUUACUUUCCAACUUCUCACAAUUCUUGGGUGGACAAGAAUUAUUGCAGACUUCACUGAGAAACCAUGAAUACACCUCUGAGCCAUUAUCAGGAAGUGACCCUGUGUUGAUACCAGAAAACUGGGCCAACUGAAGUGGGACAACACCAAAGACUCUUAAAGUCUGAACUAACAAAACUUUGCAACUAUCCAGAGCAGUCUGAAAAGCGCAGAGGUAGUCAUGAAAAGAAUUGGUUGGCUCAAAGGCAGUAAAAUCAACCCACAAAGUUAAGGAAUCUAAUAUUUCUCUUUUAUGUUGAAAGGAUAAAUCAGCAAAGACAGAAGCCAGAACGAAAAUUGUCAAUGCUCUAUUGUAGCCUUUUUCUGCAGGUAUAUUUCCAUUCUCAUUUUUCUGUCCAAUAUCAACUAAAAGAUCCUCAAAGCAUAGUGACUCAAAAUUAAGACACGAAUCAUCAAUCAGUGUUUUUUCCUCAUCAGACACCUUGCAUAAUGAAUAUGAUAUGAGUGGCUUUAAGAGGCACAUUAUAGAGCUCAGAAAUGGCACAUCACAGUAUGAGGCUUUACAAAGAGACACCAAUACUUGCACCACUUUAGGCAUUUCCGGCACCAUUGCAUCCAUGUGCUCAACAACAAUGGCUUCAAGUAUGUAAAGAAUGAUAGCUUUGGCAUUCUUUGCAACAUAACCUUUCAAAUAAUCACAACCAUUUUGAGCAGUAAUUUGGUUGUUUACAAGAAAUUGCCAUGAGCACAAAUCAGAAAACCAACACAAGAUAUCAGGCAGAACACUGGAAGAUAAACAUCGCAGCUGCAAUCCAACAGCCUCCAAAAUGUGCUCCCCAAAAGAUUCAAAUAGCUUUUUCAAAUUUGGAAAGAACUUACUGAGAUCAGGGUAGAUAGCAUGAAAAGAUUGGUCUCCAUAUUGUUGGUCAGAAACUUCAAACACUCUAUGGAUUGGAGAAUCUAGUUUGACACCCAUCUGUUCAAUCUUCCCAUCUUCCUGUUUUUGGUUGAUGACAUUAUCUACUGCUGCAAGCUCAUCAGCAAAAAUGGACAGUAUACAGGUCAGUUGUGACAGAUCUGAAGCAAGGAAAAGCCGCUCCUUUACAUACUGUUUUGCAUUACGAGACACUGCCAUCCAGCCAAGAAACCUAACAAGAGGAUAAGAACUGUGAGAAAACGUAGAUAUUCUUUCCAGCCAUGCUGAUGGUGGAAUCAAGCUACCACUUCGAAAUCGAUUGUUGACAUUUAAAGCGAAGUCUGAGCCUUCACCACCACUUGAAGCAAUUACCAAUUUUUGAAGCAGUGCCCAGCGCCGUUGCACCCCAUGUAUCUUUUCUGGAUCCAACUGCAGGUUGCCUUCUUUGAACUGAUAAUAAAAUGAUGUUAGCAUUGCAUUGAGGUACUCAGCAGAUCCUAAUAUGAUAUCAAUCACUUCUUCAGAAGCACAAUACAGCUGUGUGGCCGAGUGCAACAAAAAGACAAGACAGUGCAUAAGAAUUUCAUGCAUUGAAUGUUGCUCUUUUUUCAAUCGUCGAAUCAGAAAACUGCAUAGCAGAGCUUGAUUUUGCCGAGCCAAAGUGAUAGCAUCUGCAGAUUUUACAUCAAGGGAAGACAACUUUAUGACUUGCCCAUCAAUUUCUUCAGGGAUGUACGGAACAUAUUCCUCAUCUGAUGUGCUUUUCAGAAACUUCCUGUCUAACUCAGCAGCCUCAAGCAAUAGCUGAAGAACAAUUUUGUCCCUUUCCUUUUCAAGAAGAGCUAUUGUUUCCAAGUCAACACUAUUCUUUCUAGAAGCACUCCCCAAUUUUGCAGCUUCACAAAGUUUUGUAUUGCUAAUCUCACUAAUCUUAUCCAUUGGGCUUUCUAAUUUAGGAUUGGAUCUGAAAGACACCAUGAAAAAUGGAUUCACAUAGCACUCUGCUGCCAAGAGCAAAGCAUCUAUAGAAGCAUCAUGGCCUUCAACAGCUAUCUCAUUCUGUGAGUGCAAGUCUAAAGCCAGGCGUCGAAAUUCAGAAGCCCUAAGUUCACAGUCACGAUAGUUUAUGAGUUGAAAAUAGUCUGCUUGCAAGUUGAAGUAUUCAGCAGUGAAGCCAGCAUCUAAUACUAAGCCAUUUGGAAACAGAUGAGCAAUUUUUUUCUCAAUUGCAUGUUUUAAUUCAGAGUUGGCAUGGUUAGAAUCCAAGAUAUGUUCACUGGGACUACUGGAAACAUUUGCCAGUACUAUAUUUCGUAGCUCCGUAGGUGCAAAAAGAAGACUAACAUCUUCAAAUAUAUCCAUCUUUGCACCAUUAUCAGGAGAUUCCACCUUCCCAUCUGCAUCAUCUUGGUUAUUUGACUUUGAGGAAGCUCCAGAAUGGCGAAGGACAGGAGAAUGGCAUGGAGCAGUUGAAGCUUCAAGCUCAAAAUUUUUAGAAGUAGGAGACUUGCAGAGGUCAAUUUCAGGAGGCAACUGCAUGUGAGGCUCCAAUAUUGAGAGAAGAACACUUGGAGCAACUGAUCCACGCCUCCAUUCAGAUUCUAAGGAAGAAAGAACAGCUGGCUUUUGGACAGCCGUACGGAUGACAUUGAGAGCAAUUACACAAGUUUGUUCCCGCUUUUCCAUAAAAGUGAAAGAAACGUCCCCAAAGGCUAUGGUGCUUCGCAAUGCAUAGAUGGCAUGAUCAAGAAAAGGCUCUAGCAUCUCCAGGAGAAAAAGAAUUUUGUGCUUAACUUCCUUAUACUUCCCUAAUAUAUCAUCCAUGUGACCAGACAAAGCCAGCAUGAUAUAUUUGAGAGCAGCACGUGCACGAGCGGGGGAAUGGCGAGCGCCCUGAAUUGUGCCAAGAAGGUCCUCCAGAAGCUCCACUGUUAGAUCAACCUUUGCAAUGACCUGAGCCAUCCAAGGUGCUAGCACGCUUGAACAAAGAUCAAUGAGAACACAUGCAGCUUUAGCAUGUGAUGGUGAAUAGGAUGAUAAAUAGCCAGCACAGGCAAGAAGAAGAGGACGGUACACUGCCGAACAAGACAUAGCCACAAUUUGAGAUAGAGCUUGUUGGACGAAAGGCUGCUUCCAUUGAGAAAAAGUAUCAUCAACAUGUUCGCCAAUGCUGCUCACAGAAGGACGCAGUGCUGGCAGCAAUGCUUGUACAAGUGGUAAAGCAGACCAAAACUCAGAAGUGCUCUCCGCCAAUUUGCGGCAAAGCAAAGGCUGAGACGCACAAGCAUAAAGAACAUGUAAAAUGCCUUCUUCCACUGCCCCUAUAUCCAAGACAUUUAGAAUGCUAGAGUCCCAAUGAUCAUCAGGGAUCAUAAAUUCUUCUCCAAGCAAGCUUGAGUAAUCAACUAGAGGAGCAGGAUUUGAUAAUUCAGAUUUUGAAGUCUCAUCUGAAGCAGAUGUUACUUCAUUGGCAGCAGUUGAUGUUUCUUUCACUGUUAUAGGCUCUAUAAGCUUGUAUAGGAUUCUAGAAGCCAUUCUGCAAACAGCUCCCAAAUCAGAUUCUUUAUACGCCUUUCUCAGCAACACAAAUAUCGCAUCUGGACGGAACACCAUGGAACUAGAAGUUGAUAAGAUAAAUGGAGACAUGCAUCGUGAUCUUCUAGGCUCAAAAUUAGAAGAAACAGUUAAGGAAGAUGAAGGCUGACUGUUCUUAGGGACUUCAGAGUCAGAUAAACUGCCUGCAGACCUUGCAGUUUCUCUGUCAUUCACAAUGUGGAGUAUUGGGUACAAUGGACCCACAAGCAUAGCAAGAAAACGCAAGUUCUGCUCAGCAGAAUCAGAGAAGCUGGUUAGGUCCGCCUCAAUUUGUGGAAGGAAUACUAGCAGCCUGUUUGUCAUAUCUUGAAGCAACUGAAGAUGCAUAUCAUCAACAUCUUGCUUGUGAGACAUGAUGCGAGGCAUCAAGUGAUUAACGACUGGUUGAAACUCCGGUUCAAGACCAGUCACUGAAACCCCAAUCAGCUGAACGAAAAAAAUGGCUAUGGGAUUUCCCCGUAAACAAGAUAUUCGCACAUAGCGGCAUGGAGUGUAGUUCAUAGGGUAUAUCAUAUCACGACGAGGUGCUUCACAGCGUGGGCGAACUUUUACAAAUGUCUCUGGCUUAUAUCGCAAACCAACUGAGAUUUCCCACUCAAGUACUGACUUAUUAUAUAUCCGUAUGUGUGACAGCAAGCAAGGUUCAUCGAGUUCAAGGAGGAUCCACUCUUUGGUGUUGGUGCCGGUCGACCAGUGGGAGCGGAGGUCUGUGUCAAGGACGUGAGAGGCUUUUUGAGACGGAGAUUCUCUCGACAUUCCCUUCACUUUGUAGCUCAGUGGCUUCACUCUUGGCUCCAAUUCUAUCUCCAUCUCUCUCUAUCUCUCUCACUCUCUCUCUCUUCACUGCUAGGGUUCAAAUUGAAGAGACCUUUCUCUGUCGCCUGAAACUAAAAAAAUCACACAAGGAGAAGAAAGAAUAGGAAGACGAUGACAUUGCGCUUGUUACUGACAAAUAUGGCAGGGGUUCUUUUUUCUAUUUUGGGCUGAAUAAGGAUACUUUUGAAGUGGGCUUAGGCCCAGUGCACUUGUCUCGCUUGCCGCACGCGCCACGAACAGAAUCAUCUGUUUCCCUCUCUUCGAGAGCUUUUGCAGCGACACUGAUUUUGCACUCUCAGCUCUCGCUAACGCUCUCUCUUCCUCCCAUCGAAGAAAUUCAAGCAAAGGUUAGGAUGGCUACUCUUAGAAAUCUGAAAAUCAAGACGAGCACUUGCAAACGCAUUCUGAAGGAGCUGCAUUCAUAUGAGAAAGAGGUUGAGAGAGAAGCUGCUAAAACAGCUGACAUGAAGGAGAAGGGAGCGGACCCUUAUGACCUUAAGCAACAGGAAAAUGUGCUGGCUGAAUCGAGGAUGAUGAUUCCUGAUUGCCACAAGCGCCUUGAAGCUGCAUUAGCUGACCUAAAAGGGACUUUGGCUGAGUUGGAGGAAUCUGAUAAUAAGGAUGGACCAGACAUCGAGGAUGCUCGGAGCACUAUUACGGAGGUUGCACAAUUAUUUCAAGCAACAGAUGCAUAGCGAGUGCCAACAAUCAAUGUAAAGAGUUGGACAUAGAUAUGGAUUUGUAUGAUUGCUUUCACAUUCAUAAACAGUUCGUAUGGAUUGCUGCUGUGAUGGAUUUUGGUAAUUUGUUGUGUAAACAUUAUCUCCAGCUGAAUAUGCUAGUUAAAGUUAUUACAUGAAUUUCCUUUCACCAA
rnacentral:misc_RNA from 1 species